rnacentral:rRNA from 1 species
CGCGUAGGCGGUUUUUUAAGUCUGAUGUGAAAGCCCACGGCUCAACCGUGGAGGGUCAUUGGAAACUGGGAGACUUGAGUGCAGAAGAGGAAAGUGGAAUUCCAUGUGUAGCGGUGAAAUGCGUAGAGAUAUGGAGGAACACCAGUGGCGAAGGCGACUUUCUGGUCUGUAACUGACACUGAGGCGCGAAAGCGUGGGGAGCAAACAGGAUUAGAUACCCUGGUAGUCCACGCCGUAAACGAUGAGUGCUAAGUGUUAGAGGGUUUCCGCCCUUUAGUGCUGAAGUUAACGCAUUAAGCACUCCGCCUGGGGAGUACGCCGCAAGGCUGAAACUUAAAAAAUUGCGG